UACAGAGGGCGCACGCGUUUUUAGGAAUUAUUGGGCGUAAAGCGCGUGUAGGCGGCUUUGCAAGUCGGGUGUGAAAGACCUCAGCUCAACUGAGGAAGUGCGCCCGAAACUGCAGAGCUUGAGUGCCGGAGAGGGUGGCGGAAUUCCCCAAGUAGAGGUGAAAUUCGUAGAUAUGGGGAGGAACACCGGUGGCGAAGGCGGCCACCUGGACGGCAACUGACGCUGAGACGCGAAAGCGUGGUGAGCAAACAGG
rnacentral:rRNA from 1 species